rnacentral:tRNA from 1 species
AGUAGUAUAGUUUUUAAAAAAUUAUAUCUUGCAAAGAUAAAGAAAUCUUGAUAAGAUUAUUACUU